rnacentral:lncRNA from 1 species
CGACCAACUAUCUAUAGUCUGUGCAAUUAUUUCAAACUAGUCGAUAUGCACAAAAAUAGACAAAAUAUUGGUCAAUCAACUCUAACCAAUUGGAUAGGAACUGAAUUGCAUUCUUUAUAGUUUUUUUUUUUUUAAAAAAUAGAGAUUAAAUCACAAUUUUUUUUUUGUCGGAAAUUCCCUCGUAUUUCGAUAUUUGCCAUCACUGGCUCUCUAAUGCUCCAACUACCAUCUCGAGUAAACAAAACAAUCCAUCAAUAACAUCACAACAUAUUGCUCAUACUAAAAACGUUUUCAAGGGUUUUUUCUUAAAAAAAACAAUAAAUUAAUUCUAGUAUUCCUCCAAAGUGGAUUUAAUUCCUUUGUGGGAGGAGCAAUUAUUGAUUGAUCGAAGCCAAGUGGCAAUAUUUUGUUAAUUUUGGAGUCAACUACCAACCUUUCUGUCAAUUUUCAUGUCAAAUAUAAAAUAUACGGGAAACCGAAAAGAUAGGGUUUGAAAAAAUAUGAUCUUGCCAAAACUAUUUGUAAAUUUAUAGAGUUCUUGAGAGUUGCAGCAAGAAGAAAACAUGAAAACAUGUGAGAAAUUGAUGCAGGUGGAAUGUGAGGGGAAUAAAAAUAUCGUGGAUACGGUGGUAAAAAACAUAGCACCCAGUAAAUAUUCGACAGUGUAAAUUAUGACACAAAAUCAGAGGAUAGCAAUAUCCAUUUAAGAAAAUGGAACAAUAGGAUUUGGUUAUCUCACAUCAUGACUUAGAAAGUGCUGCUCCUUGCACACCGAAUAAGCUAGAAAAGGAUUCAGUAAGAGCAGCUUCCAUCAUCACUCCUAGCUGUUGGAUCAAAGUUUGCUGCAUUUGGGUCGGUACAGCCUUCAGGGAUAGGCACCUUUACUUGCUGUGCCGCUUGGCCUACAACAAACAACAAUGAAAGAACACCAACUCAAGUAAAACUCCUGCUUUAACUUCAUGUACCAUAACUAUAACAGAAGCCAGACGCAAACCUCCCAUCCAGGCCUCUAGGAUGUAGGGAUCUAACCAUAGAAAGUUCCUCUCUCAAUGGCAUCUUGAUUGGCUUCACCAAGAGCAGCGUCGCUCAGGUACUUGUCAGCCAAUUGGACUCUCUUCACAUUCUCUUGCUCCUUGACAAGCAUGUUUCCGUACUCAAAGAGCUUCUCGACUGUCAUCGGUGGCUGCUCAAAAGUUGGGGGUCCUUCCCUUGAGUUCACAAGCUUCUUUCCAAUGCUCUCAACACCAACACCUGAGACCCACUU